UACACAUGCAGUCGACGGUAGCACAGAGGAGCUUGCUCCUUGGGUGACGAGUGGCGGACGGGUGAGUAAUGUCUGGGAAACUGCCCGAUGGAGGGGGAUAACUACUGGAAACGGUAGCUAAUACCGCACAACGUCGCAAGACCAAAGAGGGGGACCUUCGGGCCUCUUGCCAUCGGAUGUGCCCAGAUGGGAUUAGCUAGUAGGUGGGGUAACGGCUCACCUAGGCGACGAUCCCUAGCUGGUCUGAGAGGAUGACCAGCCACACUGGAACUGAGACACGGUCCAGACUCCUACGGGAGGCGGCAGUGGGGAAUAUUGCACAAUGGGCGCAAGCCUGAUGCAGCCAUGCCGCGUGUAUGAAGAAGGCCUUCGGGUUGUAAAGUACUUUCAGCGAGGAGGAAGGCGUUGUGGUCAAUAACCGCAGCGAUUGACGUUACUCGCAGAAGAAGCACCGGCUAACUCCGUGCCAGCAGCCGCGGUAAUACGGAGGGUGCAAGCGUUAAUCGGAAUUACUGGGCGUAAAGCGCACGCAGGCGGUCUGUCAAGUCGGAUGUGAAAUCCCCGGGCUCAACCUGGGAACUGCAUCCGAAACUGGCAGGCUAGAGUCUUGUAGAGGGGGGUAGAAUUCCAGGUGUAGCGGUGAAAUGCGUAGAGAUCUGGAGGAAUACCGGUGGCGAAAGCGGCCCCCUGGACAAAGACUGACGCUCAUGUGCGAAAGCGUGGGGAGCAGACAGGAUUAGAUACCCUGGUAGUCCACGCCGUAAACGAUGUCGACUUGGAGGUUGUGCCCUUGAGCGUGCUUCCGGAGCUAACGCGUUAAGUCGACCGCUGGGGGAGUACGCGCAGGUUAAGA
rnacentral:rRNA from 1 species